GAAAUUGAAUUUGUUUAUCCGGGGAGAGAGUCGGACGUGGGAGACGCACGAAAUACCCACUCAACUGAGAAUUGCCUCCUUCACCGGUAAUAACCAACCAGAAAACUCACGAUCUUAACACGAACGUGGGAAGUUAUCGGCGCUCAAUGGGCUCACCACGAUUUACCAGCUAUAAAAGAGGCAAGAUGGAUGAUCAACCCAGAACAAGGAAAAAGAAGAGAAUCAAAUUCCUGCAAUUUCAAUUUGGAUUUCGAUUUGGUUCGGAAGAGCACUCAACUGAAUCGUGUUUAGAAGGAUUGGUGAGAAUCAGUGAGCAAUUAAGGUAUCAAAUUUGGUCGUUACAAAAAAAAAAAAAAAAGCUAGAUGUGCAAUACCUUCAUGUUAAUGCAGCUAUUGAUUCCAGCAUAGGCCUUAACCCAGCCCCUCUUUUAGAGUUAUCAGCAACAAUUGGAAGUAAGGAUCUUAGGAAGGUUGAUGAAAUUGGAAUUCAAGUCCUUAUUAGAUUAACAGGACGGGUGAGCAAUUAAGGAAGAAUUGAUUGAAGCUGUGAGGAAUUGAGGAGCAUAUUGAACAAAGCUUUAAGAUUACUAGGAACAGUCAGAUGGCAUGCAAACUGUGUUCUUUUUAUUGCUCAAAGUUAAUCAUUCAAGGCCAUAUCUCUCUGUGUCUUCUACCUCAUUCAUGUUGUUGGCUUUUUCUAAUCUUAAUUUCUAAUAUUGUUUACCGGUCAAAAUUGAUUAUAGAGGGUUGUUAUUUGUUUCCUUUACUUUUGUUUCUAAUACUGAAACUGUGAAGAUUCUUAACAAACAAAAUGAGUAAAGUUGAGAGUUCAUAGGCAACGGUGAAGCAAACCACUGAAUUGCUUCGCUCGGUGCGCGUAUACCCUACACAAAUCAAGUUGGGGCUUUGAUUGAUGUUGCAAAGGUAGCUGGGGAGUAGCUGAUUGCUGCAAAUCUGUGGGUAAGGACAUUUAAAAUCAUAAACUUUAUUGACGAAAUAAAGAAGAAUACAUCUACAAGUUUUAAGAGUUGUGAAGACUAUUGACAAACAAAGUGAGGUGGUUUGCUUCCAAAAAAA